UACGUAGGGCGCGAGCGUUAUCCGGAAUUAUUGGGCGUAAAGAGCUCGUAGGCGGUUUGUCGCGUCUGCCGUGAAAGUCCGGGGCUCAACUCCGGAUCUGCGGUGGGUACGGGCAGACUAGAGUGAUGUAGGGGAGACUGGAAUUCCUGGUGUAGCGGUGAAAUGCGCAGAUAUCAGGAGGAACACCGAUGGCGAAGGCAGGUCUCUGGGCAUUAACUGACGCUGAGGAGCGAAAGCAUGGGGAGCGAACAGGA
rnacentral:rRNA from 1 species